CUUUCUCUCUCUCUCUCUCUCUCUCUCUCUCUCUCUCUCUCUCUCCCUCCCUCUCUUUCUCUCUUUCUCGCUCUCUCUCUCCCUCCCUCUUUUUCUCUCUUUCUCUCUUUCUUUCUAUUUUUCUCUCUUUCAUUCCUUCUUUCUUUCUUUGAGACAGGAUUUCUCUGUAUAGCCUUAGCUGUCCUGGAACUCACUCUGUAGACCAGGUUGGCCUCAAACAUAGAGAUCCAUGUGCCUCUGCCUCCCAAGUAUGUGCCACCUUGCCAGGGCAAAAGAUUCUUAAAAAAUAACCUGGGGUUGGGGAUUUAGCUCAGUGGUAGAGCGCUUGCCUAGGAAGCACAAGGCCCUGGGUUCAGUCCCCAGCUCUGAAAAAAAGAACCAAAAUAAAUAAAUAAAUAACCUUAGGGACUGGAGAGAUGGCUCAGUGUUAAGAGCACCGACUGCUCUUCCAGAGGUUCUGAGUUCAAAUCCCAGCAACCAUAUGGUGGCUCACAACCAUCUGUAAUGGAAUCUGAUGCCUUCUUCUGUGUGUCUGAAGACAACUACAGUGUACUUAUAAUAAAUAAAUAAAUCUUAAAAAAAUAACCUCAGGACAAAAAAAAUCCAAAAAAUUUCUUGUUGACUAUGGGUGGCUGGAUCUCUAAGUUCAAGUCCAGCCUGGUCUAUAUAGAGUUUCAGGAGGUCAGCCAGGGCUGCAUAGUGAGACCCUGUCUGUGAUGGUUUGAACAGGAAUGUCUCCAUAGACUCAUGAGUUUGAAUAUUUGGCCCAUAAGAAGUGGCACAAUUAGGAGGUUUGGCCUUGUUGGAAUAGAUGUGGCCUUAUUGGGGGAUGGGCUUUGGGAUCUUAUAUGAUGAAGACCUAUGCACAAUGGGACAGUCUCCUGCUGCCUGUGGAUCAAGAUGUAGAUAGAACUGUGAGCUCCUCCACACUAUCUCUGUGUGAAGGCUGCCACACUUCCCAUCAUGACAAUAAUGGACCAAGCCUCUGAAACUGUAAGCCAGCAAAGUGUUUUCCUUCAUACAAAUUGCUGGGCUGGAGAGAUGGCUCAGUGGUUAAGAGCACUGACUGCUCUUCCAGAGGUCCUGAGUUCAAAUCCCAGCAACCACAUGGUGGAUUACAACCAUCUGUAGUGGCAUCUGAUGCCCUCUUAUGUGUGUCUGAAGACAGAGUGUACACACACAAUAAAUAAAUCUUAAAAAAAAAAAAAGAAUUACCAUGGUAAUAGUGUCUUUUUACAGCAAUAGAAACCCUAACUAAAACACUGUUUCAAAAAUAUAAUAAUAUCAAUAACAACAACAAGAACCCAGGGCACUGGUGGUGGAACAUAGAAUAAAGGCUUGGACAAAUAAAUGGGGAAGACGGAAAACCCUUUGCUAAGAUCCCACACCUCGCUAAGAUCUAAAAUUCAUUUGUUUAUUUACUUACAUAUUUGGUUUUCUGAGACAGAGUUUCACUAUGUCAUCUCAAACUCAGAGACCUCAGUUUCUCAAGUGCUGGGGUUACAGGUGUGAAAUCCCUGCUGGCUUGUGGUUGGUCCUGAUGGGCGAGUGUUAUAUCUGAUUGAAUAGACUGUUCAGAGAUCCAUGGAGUCUUCUUUUAAAUUUAGUUUAUUUUUUAGUUUUUAAUUUAUUGAUUGGUUGAUUGGUUGGUUUUUUGAGACAGGGUUUCUCUGUGUAACAAAGCACUAGCUGUCUUGGAAUUCGUUCUGUAGAUCAGGCUGUCCUCGAACUCACGGAGAUUUGCCUGCCUCUGCUUCCUGAGUGCUAGGGUUAAAGGCUAAGCUGUAACCACCCAGCUCAUUUAGUUGGUUAAGAAAGGAUUUUUAAAAGAUUUAUUUAUUUAUUAUAUAUUAAUACACUGUAGACACACCAGAAGAGGGUAUCAGAUCUCAUUACAGAUGGUUGUGAACCAUCAUGUGGUUACUGGGAUUUGAACUCAGGACCUCGGGAAGAGCAGUCAGUGCUCUUAACUACUGAGCCAUCUCUCCAGCCCAAGAUUUUUUUUUAAAUACAAAUUCAAUCAUGAGCAUCUAAGGCAGGGGAGCAUAGGCAAGUUUGGUACCCCGAGAGGGCCAUUUUGGUUUUAGUUAUACACACACCUGUAGGACCCCCAUCCCUUUAUUUGUGCUGGACUACAAGUUCUCCCAUCCUUGAACAAUGGUAUGAGUUCCCCGGCCCCUGAUAACACUCAAAUCCAGAGAGUUUCUAUUCAAAUAUAUUCCCAAUGUAUUCAGGUCUGAAGAAUGGAAGGGCUGAUGGGACUGGUUUUGGGUACACACACAGUAGGGCAAGACUGUUCUCUAUCUAAUAACAGUGACCUUUUAGAGAGGAUCCUCUAUUUUCCAUCUGAUGCCUGCGCAUAAUCGGUGUGCUUAUGAUUAUAAUCAGAUUCAUUAUGGGAAGGGGCCCGGGCAGUAGGAAAGUGAAUGUCUAAUGUAGUAAUCAAGAUAGUGAGCUUAUAGACAACAUCCCUUAGGAACCAACUCCUCUCUUUGAACCUCACAAAAGGAAACCCCAAACAAUAGCUGGAGCCUGAGUGUCCUUCGUCAUGUGUCUUAGGGUUUUACUGCUGUGAACAGACACCAUGACUAAGUCAACUCUUAGAAGGACAACAUUUAGUUGGGGCUGGCUUACAGGUUCAGAGAUUCAGUCCAGCACCAUCAAGGCAGGAACAUGGCAGCGUCCAGGCAGGCAUGGAGCAGGAGGAGCUGAGAGUUUUACAUUUUCAUCUGGAGACUGCUAGGAGGAGACUGGGUUCCACUCAGCUAGGACAGGGUCGGGGGUAGGGGGUGGGGGGGUGUCUUAAAGCCCACACCCACAGUGAUGCACCUACUCCGACAGGGUCACACCAUCUAAUAGUGCCACUCCCUGGGUCAAGCAUAUGCAAACCAUCAUAUCUUGUGAUCCAGUUAUCCCCAUUUAAUCCAUGCUAUCGAUUUGCCCCAAAUAAAUUAUCUUACUUCUUUUGCAAAUCUGUGUGAACCUUUAUUUUUAAUCACUUGGAUAAGAACCUGGAAACACCUGGCUCACACCCCAGCCUCCAGUAGCACAUUGGAGAAAGUGAGACCCAGGCUUAAGAAAGUAUAGCCAAGUGGUGAUGGUGGUGCAUGCCUUUAGUCCCAGUGUUCGGGUUGGGGGAGGGGGCAGAGGUAGGCCAGGUCUACAGAGUGAGCUCCAGGACAGAGAAACCCUGUCUCAAAAACAAAAAACAAAGCGAAACAAAAACAACCAAAGCAAAACAAAACAAAAAGCAAAGUAGGCUCAGGUUUUUCAAGAGAAACUUGCUGAGCUCAUGGUCUUAAAGAAAAAUUUAAGUCAAGGGAGCGCCAGAUGGGACUGAAAGGGAUACAGAUAAUUGAAAAGAGGGAGCUAAAGGCAUCAGUCAGUAGAGUGCCUGUCGUCCACAUGCAAAGGCACAAAAUGAAAAGGGAAAGAGUCUGGGCACCUUUCAUCCCAGAGCUGGGGAGACAGAGCAGGUGGAUCUCUAUGUGUGAGAUGUUAGAUGCCACCUUGGUCUACAAAGUGAGUUCCAGGCCAGUCAAGGACUACAGAGUGAGACUCUAGCUCAAAUAAAUAAAUAGAUAGAUAGAUAGAUAGAUAGAUAGAUAGAUAGAUAGAUAGAUAAGGUGGAUAGACGGAUGGAUAGAUAGAUAGAUAGAUAGAUAGAUAGAUAGAUAGAUAGAUAGAUAGAUAGAUAGAUAGAUAGAUAGAUGGCAAGCAUAGAGGUCUCUCUGCACUCACUUGCAAACCCAGCCCAUAUCUUGUUUAAAAGUAAGGACGUUUUUUAAGUAGAGAGCUAAGAGCUGUGACUGUUGACCUAGGAGCCAGAGCUCUGCACAGAGCAGAAUCAGGCCCAACCAAGGACAUUAUCUAUAUAGACCAAGAUAUGUGCCGGGCAGGAAAUUAGGACUUUUAUGGAUUGGUGCUGGGCUUGGUGACCCACACUGUCCUAGCAUUUAGGCAAGAGGAUCCCAAGACUGAGGCCAGCAAGAGCAGUCAGAGAGGGAGGUGUUUAGGAGCCAGUAACCGCUCUGUGAUCCAUUCCCCAAAGCCAUCUGAAGGAGAAUGUCUGUUUGCUGUUACCGUGCCUCUGUCUUAGCCUCAGCAUGGCAUUAGGAGGGAGGGAGGAAGGAAGAUAUAACCUAUUUCUAGGACAUUGGCAGUAAUGCGUUAGUAAAUGUUUAACAGCUGAUCUCCGGGAGGGGGGAACUUUAAAGCCCUGAUUUACAGUAAUUUCUCUAUUAUAAAUUCUUCUGUGGGGUCCAAAUUCAAGGUUCUAAUGUGGUAUAAGUGAACCCAGGUAUGUUCACCGUCAGCUGUCCUAAGUCCCAUGAGCCUGUUUUAGGACACCACCGGGGAUCACUGGGGAAAAAAGUCCCAGAGAAGCUGAAUGACUCUGAUUUAGGUGACAAGACCAUGGGCCUCAAACCUGAGGCUGAUGGUACAAUGGAUGGGAAAGUGACAUAGAAGAAUCCAGAGGGGGUGACAGUAUUUUGUUUGUUGCUAUGUUGUCUGCCCCCAGGGAACACAGCUCCUGGUUUGCAUGGUUUUACCCAGUUCCAUCCCACCCUGAUUCUGGACUUAGCCACAGUGACAUGCUUUGUCAAUGGAGCAAAGGUAAAUGAAGUAUAUGUAGAAGCUGGAUAAUCAUUUACACUGAAAUCGCUCUCUUGGAAUCCAGCUGCCAUGUUUUAAAAUGGGUUGGUUUAGAAUGAUCAGAGGCUUCGUGGGAAAAGGCUGCUGUGGAUUUUUAAAACUUAUUAUUUAUUUUAUUUUUGCUUUGUGUCUCCUCAAAAUUCGCUUGUCUGCAAUCCCAGUGUUUGGGAAGCUAAGGCAGGAAGAUUCUAAGUGUUUGGCCAACCUGAGCUAUAUUAUGAGUUUCAAGCCAGCAGGGCUAUGUAAGGAGACCCUGUGUCAAAAAAAGAAAAAACAAAUAAUGUUGAAAUCGGAAGCCCAAAGUUACAGUAUCAGGAGGUGUAGCCUGUGGAAGGCUACUAGGUCAUGAGGGCGGAGUCCUGGAGAGGGGAUUCCGGUCAGAGAGUUCCCUCUUGUCUGUCUGCCAUCAUGUGACGAUUCAGAGAGAAGAGAGUCUUCCUGGAAGGAGCUGAGCCUUCUCUAUUUCCUGCCCCUUCCUAGUUCUUACCAUUCUUAAGACUUUAUAUUAUAUUAACCCAUUUAAGUCUCUAAGCUAGCUUCUCAUUAUUCUCAUUUACGAGUGAGAAAACUGACUAUUAACUACCCAGGUCACUUAGCUAAUAAGUGGCUCUGAAAGAUUGGGAGCCCAGGUUCUGUGGCUGCAUAAUUUCUGCUGGGUCUUGAAGGGAAAAGAGAGUAGUGCUAAUCAGGGGAAAGCUAGGAGCUGGUAGGAGCGCGGUGGGGAGCGUUGUCUUCCAGACCAGAGAGCAAGUGAGCUUGCAGUAGCUUCUAAGAUUUCUAAGAUUUUCUCAUCUUCUCUCCAGCUCUCUCCACUAUGGAAGUGAUUCUUUCCUUUGCCUUUUUGUUCGUUUAUUUUCUAGACAGAAUUUCUCCGUGUGGCCGUGACUGGCCCGGAACUUGGUCUGUAGACCAGGCUGGCCUUGAACUCAGAGAGACACCUGCCUCUGCCUCCCAAGUGCGGGCAUUCAAGGUGUGCUCCCCACCUCCCAGCUGAAGUCAGAAGUGAACCUGAGAGGAGAUCUCCUUCCUAGGGGUUUCCGCUCGAGUCCCACGGAGGCGCCGCAGCGCGGUCUUGAGGGCCUCUCUGGACACAGGCCGACUGAGUAUGGGGCGCUGGCUGAGGUGCAGCUUGUCCAGGAUGCUUUUCUUGGCCAAAUCGAGAAGGAGCUCCCGAUGGCUCUCCAGGUCAAAGGUGGCACCCCAACAUGCUGGACAUGGACCAUCAGUUUUGAGGUUCACUACUGUGGCUAGAGUCAGGAACAGAAGAGCCAGGAGCAAGGAGGAGGCCAUUGCUGGAGGAUGGUCUCCUUAAAGGACACAACGCCUGUGUUCAGGGUCUCAACGGGAGUAGCUUCAACUCUGUCCUGGCCACCAGGGACCCUGGGAGGAGUGUGCCUCCAGCUGGCAUAACUCCUUUUUUUGUCAGAGAUACAACGGCCAAACAUCUGGCUUGAAAAAUGAAGCCAGUACAGGUAGAACUUGGCAGUAUGUUCGUGUGUGGUUAGUGAGAGUACAGAGGUGGGGGGUUGUGUGGGUUGUUUGAAGAAAGCAAUGUCUACCUCCUGCUGCUGUUGGGAGAUUGUGAGCCAAAAGAGCUGCCAGGACAAGGGGCAAAGGUUAGAGCCUUUCCACGAAGCACUGAGGGGAAAGGUGGUAUGAGCAGAGGUUUUAAGAUAAUGCUAAUUCAGAGACUGAAGUGGGACAAUCACCAGAAGUCAGGAUUUAACAGUCUCAAACAACAACAACAACAACAACAACAACAACAACAACACAGUGACUUUUGUGUGCGUGGUGUGUGGUUGAGUCAGAUUUUCAUUUAGCUCGGGCUUACUUUGAACUUCCUAUACAGUGGAGGUUGGUUUUGAACUCCUGCGUCUGCUUCUCAAAUCAGGUCUCACAGGCGUGGACUACCAUGUCCACUUAAGAGUUGACUCUUUUUUAUUGUUGUUUGUUUGUUUGUUUUUGAGACAGGAUCUCAUGGUAUAGCCCUGGCUGGCCUGGAACUGGCUAUGUAGACCCUCCUAGCCUUGAACUCUCAGAGAUCCGCCUGUGUCUGUUUUGCAAGUGUUGAGAGUAAAGGUGUGUGAUAACACACCUGCUUAAAGGGUGACUCAAAAAAUAUUUUUAAAAAGGCACUUCAAAUUUGCCUCUUCCUCCUCCCUCCUCCUUUUGAUCCUUUCCUCUCCUCUUCCUCCUCCCCCUCCUUUUCUUUCUGUUUCUUUUUUGUCUUUUGAGACAGGAACUAGCUCUAUAGACCAGGCUGCAACUGCUGGAUUAAAGGCACCGGCCACCAUGCCCUGGCUUUUCUCUGCUUCUUCAAGUCCACCCCCCUCCAUCUUCCUUCCUUGGAGCUCUCAGUCCAACUUUCUUUGUUAGUUCUGGUUGGUUUUUGCCCACUGAGUCACAGUUACCAUCUAAAAGUUAAGGAAAGCAGAGAGAAAAAGAAACCUUCAAACCAGAUGUUCUUAGUGUGCUCUCAGAAACAGGUGGGUGUAUCAGAAUUGUUGAGAAAACGAUACAUUUGCAUGUCAGUUUCGCUGGUUGCAACUUACCAAGUGAUCCUAGUUUGCCAUAACAUGCAAGGCUGUUGGUCCUCAACAGUCUCUUUUGAAGAGCCUUAUUGAAUACAGAGGCCAAGAGCUGACAUAGAUACAGUCACUGUGGGUGGUUACAUAGUAAUAACUCAGCUGAAGAGCUUGGUGGAAACUCGGAGAGCCUCAGGGUGAGCUAGAAGACACGGGGAUUGCAGGAAAGCAAGGGGUAGGCUAUCUCGAGAAAUGGAUGGAUAGAUGGAAAUAUGGACAGCCAGCCAGCCAUGUAAGCGGAGACUGUGCUGAGCUGAUGUCAUGUGGACAUUCAAGAGUUCUCUGCCUAUUGGUCCCUCGAUGGUGACAAGUUAUCAAGACCAUCUACCAUAGCGUGGUCUGAGCCAGUGUGGGCUCACCCUCUUCCUGAGGGUGCUAUGCUCAUCAAGUUCAUGGGUCUGACUUUCUAGUUAAAACUUUUCAAAACAAUGUAUUUGAUUAGCAGUCACCUGUGUGUGUGUGUGUGUGUGUGUGUGUGUGUGUGUGUGUGUGUGUGUGUGUGAUGCCGCCACAGGAAUUCAGUAGAGAUCUGUGAACAA